GCAGAGAUGCUUUGGUGCCUUCGGGAACUGUGAGACAGGUGCUGCAUGGCUGUCGUCAGCUCGUGUUGUGAAAUGUUGGGUUAAGUCCCGCAACGAGCGCAACCCUUAUCCUUUGUUGCCAGCGGUCCGGCCGGGAACUCAAAGGAGACUGCCAGUGAUAAACUGGAGGAAGGUGGGGAUGACGUCAAGUCAUCAUGGCCCUUACGACCAGGGCUACACACGUGCUACAAUGGCAUAUACAAAGAGAAGCGACCUCGCGAGAGCAAGCGGACCUCAUAAAGUAUGUCGUAGUCCGGAUUGGAGUCUGCAACUCGACUCCAUGAAGUCGGAAUCGCUAGUAAUCGUAGAUCAGAAUGCUACGGUGAAUACGUUCCCGGGCCUUGUACACACCGCCCGUCACACCAUGGGAGUGGGUUGCAAAAGAAGUAGGUAGCUUAACCUUCGGGAGGGCGCUUACCACUUUGUGAUUCAUGACUGGGGUGAAGUCGUAACAAGGUAACCGUAGGGGAACCUGCGGUUGGAUCACCUCCUUA
rnacentral:rRNA from 2 species